AGCCCUCCCGGGCACUUUGUCCCUCUCCUGGGCGUUUUGCCCCUCUCCAGGACGUUUUCUUCCCCCUGCCGGACCCGAAGCGAGGCCUAGGUACGCUCCCCCAUAUAUAUAAAAAACACCAAGGCCUCCAGGACUCAUUUUCUUUUGGUUCCAUCCACCCCCGUAAUUCCCUCCCGCGCAGUGAAGCCUUAUGGAAUUCCCGCCUCACCUCAAAAUAAAAAAGCCCCCAAAACCAGGGAUGUCUUUUAACACCCCCUCCUUCCCCAGGCCCUCCGGAGUGUCUUUACUCCCUCCUCGGCGCUGCAGGGUUUCAGGAGCUCAUUUCCUUCCCUGUCGCUGCUCCUUGCACAAGUCAGGCCUCGGGGUGCUCAUCUGCCCUCACCCCCAAAAACAGUGAGGCCUCGUGGAUCCCACCUUUUCCUUUCCUCCCACCCGCCAAUGGAGGCCUUGGGGGUCUCCUCAUCCCCUUUUCUCCUCAGGAAUGGGGCACUGAGGCUCAUCCUUUCUCUCUCCCCACACGUCCAGCCGGGGCCUGCAGCCCCUCUUCUCCCAGCCCUUCCCCCAAAAACGAGGCCUCCCGGAGCUCUUUAUUCUCCCCACACCCAGCCGUGAGAUUUUAUCCCUCCCACCUUGCAAACUUCCCGGACUCCCUUAGGGUCCCCCACCCCUUUGCUGAUGCCUCCCCUCUGUUCUCUCCCCCAUCCCACAUGGAUCCAUGCUCUGGGACGCUUUCCCCUUGUCCUGGUUCUGCUCUGGGCAUCCACCUCUCCCUCCUGAGCCCUUCCCUGCGAUUCCUUUUCUCCUACAAACACCUUUGUGUCCCUUCCAUGUCCUUCCUUCCCUGUUCCUGCACCCUCCUCUCUGUCUCCCGAGUGCCAGGUGCUGCAGGCUCUGGGCUCUGCUGUUCCCAGCUGCUCCAUUUUCCUGCUCUCUUAACUCCUCUAAUCCCAUUAUUCCCACAGUUUCUCCCUUUUGUGGCUCCUGUUUUGUCCUGGCCCACUCAAGUCUCAAUGACCCUCCUGGGUUUUGUUUGUUGAUUUUUUUCUGUCAUUCUCGUUUUUGC
rnacentral:lncRNA from 1 species